GACAGAGGUGCCGAGCGUUAGGCGGAAUCACUGGGCUUAAAGCGUGUGUAGGCGGACCGUUAAGUGUCUUGUGAAAUCCCCCCGGCUCAACCGGGGGAAUUGCUGGGCAUACUGGCGGUCUUGAGCAGUCUAGGGGGCAGAUGGAACAAGUGGUGGAGCGGUGAAAAUGCGUUGAGAUCGGAAGGAACGCCCGUGGCGAAAG
rnacentral:rRNA from 1 species